GGGUGGAGUUGUAGUGGUGGGUUUCAUGCGAUCUUUUCCGUUUUUUUUUUUUUUUCCCCUUCCACCAAUGCUCUGGCUGGAACGCAGAGCCUUGUGCAGGUUAAGCUCAGCUCUUUAUUUACUGAGUCAGGUUCUCCUUCAGUCGCCCAGGCUGGAUUCUUGUGCGAUCCUCUCGCCUGAACUGUCCGAUAACUAGCGUGCGCCAACCCGGCGGGCUAGCUUGCGUCUUUGUAGGCGGAGCAGUAGGGCUGGGGUUGGGUAUGUGAAAUAGUACACUGGUGAAGACCUUGGGUAUAGCGAGGCGAGCAGACUUGGAAAGGUUACGUGAUAUCAGUAUGAAGACACAGCAGUUAAACCAAAGUGUUGCUCCGCAGAUACCUGUGGGUAGUUAAGGAUCUACAAGACUGAGUGCAAGGAAGUGCUCUUGGGGACUGAUACCAUGUCAGCUACCAAAUAUGAGCUUUAUUUUUAUUAUUUCUAAUUGUUGAAUAAAAAUUGUAAAUAUU